AUGUCGCCACAUAAGAAGAUCGUCGGUGGAUAUGAAAUAAAUCAGGCCAAUAGUGACCGCAUAUGUCGACACCCUAGCUAUUGUGUUUGCAAUGGAUUGGACUUAGAUAUGAAUUAUGUUUUGGUUACACUGAACAAAGAAGAUGACCAGUGGUACUGCAAGUUUACCUAUUGGAGUAGAUGUCCUGAUGCCUUGGAAGCAGAAUUGUGCGCUUGUAUGGAGGGUUUAUCUUCUGCCCUUAUGAGAACUGAGCUACCUAUCGAAUUGGAGGUUGAUUCUUUGGAAGUAGUUAAGAUGGUGCAGACAGAUGACAUCAACAGAUCACUUUAUGCUUAUCUUAUUAGAGAGAUCAAAUUGAUGAUGAGUCUUAGGGAGACUAGUAUUACUCAUAUUCGUAAACCCCAAAAUAAAGUUAGUGAUUGUUUAGCUAUCUUUGCUAGGGAGGAAGGUAGAACCAUGACUUGGUUAGGUUCUGGACCUCCCAGAGUUUUCAACUCGCUGCUUCAUAUUGUAACACUGUUGGAGUUUGAGUAA
rnacentral:rRNA from 1 species